AUUGAACGCUGGCGGCAUGCCUUACACAUGCAAGUCGAACGGCAGCACGGGUGCUUGCACCUGGUGGCGAGUGGCGAACGGGUGAGUAAUACAUCGGAACAUGUCCUGUAGUGGGGGAUAGCCCGGCGGAAGCCGGAUUAAUACCGCAUACGAUCCACGGAUGAAAGCGGGGGACCUUCGGGCCUCGCGCUAUAGGGUUGGCCGAUGGCUGAUUAGCUAGUUGGUGGGGUAAAGGCCUACCAAGGCGACGAUCAGUAGCUGGUCUGAGAGGACGACCAGCCACACUGGGACUGAGACACGGCCCAGACUCCUACGGGAGGCAGCAGUGGGGAAUUUUGGACAAUGGGCGAAAGCCUGAUCCAGCAAUGCCGCGUGUGUGAAGAAGGCCUUCGGGUUGUAAAGCACUUUUGUCCGGAAAGAAAUCCUUGACUCUAAUACAGUCGGGGGAUGACGGUACCGGAAGAAUAAGCACCGGCUAACUACGUG
rnacentral:rRNA from 1 species